UCCUUGGAGACGCCAUCGGCGCAGCCGUCAAAGUAUUUCUGCAGCGUGUCCACCUGUCUGCACAGGAUGUCUCUGAAGGUCUCCAUCUCCGCCAGCUUCUCUCGCAGGCUGUGGCCCUUCUAGAAGGAAGACAACGUGAUCAGAUUGAGCUCCGGCUGCUGUGAGGGGUCAACAUGGACGGGACUUUGGUGUCACUGCACAUCCACGGUGAAGUCACUGCAGAAGGUCACCUUGAAGGAGGAGGUAGAGGUGGCCGAGUAGCCGCUGGCGGCUGACGUGAGGGACAGCAUGGAGCCAUGUCGUCGCAGGCUGGACUCGGAACCAUAGCCGGGGUCAGCCUGGAAAGAAGAGAUGCUCAGACAGGGGCCAGAGAAGCUUGUGCAACCAUGGCAACAACAGCGCUUCAUCUGCCUGUGCCCCCUUAAGAGACACUACCACGUUGCACCACCAGGAGGCAGUAAAAGCACAGACAUGUGACCAAGAUGGUAACCCUGACGACGUGGUGGAACUGUGUACCAGAUCCAGACCCCAGAUUAAUCCCGGCUGGGGCCUGUGACGUCAACUGGACUUUGUAUGAUGGCGCAAGCUCAACAAGAGACAGGACUGCCACACCCCCCGACGUGGUCGUGUCAGAAACUCGCAUUCAUGAAAUGAAGAGUUACAGCAGAGCGCUCCUGUCACACAGAGGAUCUUUGACUGGCUUUCUUUGCAGUAAGUGCUGAAGAAACAGCAGAGCAGUCCUUUUAAAUAGAGGAUCUUUGCUGAGAAUUAUUAUUUUUUUGCAACAGAC